CCCUUAGAUGUUCUGGGCCGCACGCGUGCUACACUGAGUGGAUCAGCGGGUCAGGUUGCGCGAAAGCGUUUCCUAAUCUUGAAAUCCGCUCGUGAUGGGGAUUGACGGUUGCAAUUUUCUGUCAUGAACGAGGAAUACCUUGUAAGCGCGGGUCAUCAUCCCGCGCUGAAUACGUCCCUGCCCUUUGUACACACCGCCCGUCGCCCCUACCGAUUGAGUGGUCCGGUGAGGCUUUGGGAUCUGAGCGGAAAGAGCGUUUCGCUCGUUCUGCCCGGAAAACUCAGUCGAACCUUAUCAUUUAGAGGAAGGAGAAGUCGUAACA
rnacentral:rRNA from 1 species